rnacentral:lncRNA from 1 species
UCACAAAUUUCCAAAUUAUAGAUGUUAAAUAUUCAACAAGGACUCUUGAAGGAAGAAAGAGUAGCGGCAAUAUGUGAAGGUCUCAUUGGAUUCCUAAUGGACGAGGUGGUAGAUCCAAAAGGAGAAUUUUAUUACGAUGGACGACAAUUAGACACUCCGAUCAGCAACACCUCAACGGGAAGAUUGUAGAUAGAUACUUUGAUUUAUUUGUAUAUAUA